GAGAUCGACAUCGCGCUUGCAUAUAUGCCAGCGACGCGGCACCUAACCUCGGAGCUAGCCAACGGCCUGACGCACUCAGGAGUAUCACUGGAUUGAUGCCUGUGGACUAUAUAUACGCAUGACUCAUGACGCCGCAGCUGUCGUAUUCGCCUUUCUUGGAGAAACUUUUCCACUUUCAAGAGAUUUCUUGGAGAUAUUGUAACUACGACGGCUUCAAUUUCAUCCCCUUUUCUUUUCUUUUCUUUUCUUUUCUUUUGUGCGAUCCCUUCUAAGUUCAGUCUCGUGCAAACGUACGCGCUGCAGAACCUUCAGUCAGUUGUGUCUCUAUCAAUGCCACUGUGGCCGUACUUCUAUAUGAACUUGCUGAGGAAGUACUCUUGCUCUGUACGUAGCUAGUAUUCAUUGUCCGGGCUUGUCUACGUUCGUUCGUUCACGCACGGCUCUCUCUUUCAAUUUCCUUGCUGUCAAAGCUACAGACUUACAUGAACGUAUGACGGUGUAAGGCGUUGCCUUUUUUCCUUUCAGUACUUACCUUCAGUCAGUAGCUAUCCUUUCAAUUGACACGUAUUGCCAGUACAUUUUCACCUUUUGGCCAGCGCAGAAAAUUUCUGCUCAACAUAGUAGGCUAGUACUCCAACAACAACCUUCUCACUGACUAUGACGAACCUUUCCAACUGGAAGUGAAGCAUUCAGAACACAUGAUUUCAUUCUGCCUGCUGGAAACUCCUUCACACUGCACAAUUGCAGACCAGCAUUCUCUGACAAGGCA
rnacentral:lncRNA from 1 species